GUUCCAGACUCCUACGGGAGGCAGCAGUGGGGAAUAUUGCACAAUGGGGGAAACCCUGAUGCAGCGACGCCGCGUGAGCGAUGAGGUAUUUCGGUCUGUAAAGCUCUAUCAGCAGGGAAGAAAAUGACGGUACCUGACUAAGAAGCCCCGGCUAACUACGUGCCAGCAGCCGCGGUAAUACGUAGGGGGCAAGCGUUAUCCGGAUUUACUGGGUGUAAAGGGAGCGUAGACGGCGAUGCAAGCCAGAUGUGAAAGCCCGGGGCUCAACCCCGGGACUGCUCUGGAAACUGUGCAGCUAGAGUGCAGGAGAGGCAGGCGGAAUUCCUAGUGUAGCGGUGAAAUGCGUAGAUAUUAGGAGGAACACCGGUGGCGAAGGCGGCCUGCUGGACUGUAACUGACGUUGAGGCUCGAAAGCGUGGGGAGCAAACAGGAUUAGAUACCCCCGUA
rnacentral:rRNA from 1 species